ACCGAGAGCGCAUUAAGGAGCCCACCGGGCGGGGAGGCAGCUUCGUUACUGUCCCCGCCACGCUGGCCAGGAACGUCUCUGGCCCGGGAGCGUCUCUGGAGAACCGGAGAGUCAGGAGCUGCCGGGGAGGGGGUUCGGGGGUACACGCCACUGGCCCUGGUCCGAGGGUCCCCUGCCCCCCACCGCUCUGUUCCGGGGCCCCUCCUUCUUCCUGAUCCUGUCCGGGGCCCCUCCCCCCUCCCGGGCCUGCCUGGGGCCUCUCCCUCCCCCUCUACCCCUGGGUCCCCUUCCUAGGGGUCUGCGCCUGGGUGCUUUGGCAGCGUCCCGGCGCGGGGCUCUGGUGGCCACGGGGCGCCAAGGAAAGAAAGUCCCUCGCAGAACUGGCAGGAAGCUGGUCGGGCCGGGCGGAGGAGACGCGGGGCGCAGACGCGCACCCACAGCUGCCUGGAGUCGCCCGCACGGCGUAGGAGGGGGCGGGGCUGAGCCAACCCCUGUGUAUUAGACAACUCCUUGGGCGACCAGAGGACGCACGCUGGCUCAGGGCCACCCUGUGCACUGCGGGGUGUCCGGCGCCGGGAUUUAGGAGGGUAACUCCGCCCAGAGGUCUCGGAAGUGUGACUCAGGGUCUGAGGGGCCUAGGGCGCACCCACCCAUAAGUCCUGAUGACCCACCACCCAAAGGCGGAAAGAGCCACCUUUCCAGAAUGAGGCCUUUAGAAUGUCUUCAUCUGCCCUUUCUCUGCUCUAUUUCCUAUUGUGUUGUGACAAACCACUCCUGGGUCCUGCUUGGAAGAUGCUCACAAGUUGGUGGAGAGAACAUUCUGGAAGAGCUGGCCCCGACUCAGCCAUCCUAACCUGGCCUGCUCCUGACUGGGCCUUGCCACCAGCCAAAUUAAUUCACCACCUCUGGCUCCUAACCUCCACCCAGCUGGGCCUUCAGUGAGUACAGCCUUGGUUGGCAGCUUGACUUCAACUCACAAGAGGCCCUGAGCAGAAGCCUCAGCUAAGCUGCUCCCAAUUUGUGACUCUCAAACACUGGCUGAGAAAUAAAUAUUUGUUGUUCUAGCUGAUAAAUUUUGGGACUGAUGUAUUUUCUAGCUUCUUGAACUGGG
rnacentral:lncRNA from 1 species